UUACCUUUCUUGGCCUCUUGUCAAGUAUAGUAUCUGUUCUUAUCGUUUUGAUAUUUUUUUUUUUUUGGGUCAAAUAUCGGUUCUGAUAUAUGGAUCAUUGAUCCAUGAUAUUAAAGAAAUUUAUUGUUGGAUAUAGCCUAUUGUAGUAGCUUACUACUUAGGGUUCUUGAGUGUCGCCCAAGCCUUGCACUCAAUUAUGGUUUCGCGCAUCCCAC
rnacentral:snRNA from 1 species